rnacentral:rRNA from 1 species
GAUGAACGCUGGCGGCGUGCCUAAUACAUGCAAGUCGAGCGAACGGACGAGAAGCUUGCUUCUCUGAUGUUAGCGGCGGACGGGUGAGUAACACGUGGAUAACCUACCUAUAAGACUGGGAUAACUUCGGGAAACCGGAGCUAAUACCGGAUAAUAUUUUGAACCGCAUGGUUCAAAAGUGAAAGACGGUCUUGCUGUCACUUAUAGAUGGAUCCGCGCUGCAUUAGCUAGUUGGUAAGGUAACGGCUUACCAAGGCAACGAUGCAUAGCCGACCUGAGAGGGGGGUCGCCCACACUGGAACUGGGCCCGGGCCAGGACUCCGAGGGGAGGAGCAAGUAGGGAAUCUUCGGAAAGGGCAGAAGGCUGGAGGGAGAACCGCCGGUGGGUGGAGGAGGGUUUUCGUAUCGUAAAACUUUUUAAUAGGGAAAAAAAAUAGGGGUAAUAAAUUGGGCCAUUUUGGAGGUACCAUAAUAAGAAGCCCACGCCAACCUCCGGC